UGAGGAAUAUUGGGCAAUGCCCGCAAGGGUGACCCAGCAACGCCGCGUGGAGGAUGAAUGUCGUAAGAUUGUAAACUCCUGUUAGAGGGGAAGAAUAGUACCGGUUGGACCGGUAUAUGACUGUACCCUCAGAGAAAGCCCCGGCUAACUACGUGCCAGCAGCCGCGGUAAUACGUGGGGGGCAAGCGUUGUCCGGAUUUACUGGGUGUAAAGGGCGCGCAGGCGGGAUAAAAAGUCAGUGGUGAAAUCCUACAGCUUAACUGUAGAACUGCCUUGAUACUUUUAUUCUUGAGUUCGGGAGAGAGAGACGGAAUUCCAGGUGUAGUGGUGAAAUACGUAGAUAUCUGGAAGAACACCAGUUGCGAAGGCGGUCUCUUGGUCCGAUACUGACGCUGAGGCGCGAAAGCGUGGGGAGCAAACA
rnacentral:rRNA from 1 species